rnacentral:rRNA from 1 species
GACGAACGCUGGCGGCGUGCUUAACACAUGCCAGUCGAACGGACAGGCCCUGCUUUUGUGGGUUGCUCGAGUGGCGAACGGGUGAGUAACACGUGAGUAACCUGCCCUUGACUUUGGGAUAACUUCAGGAAACUGGGGCUAAUACCGGAUAGGAGCUCCUGCUGCAUGGUGGGGGUUGGAGAGUUUCGGCGGUUGGGGAUGGACUCGCGGCUUAUCAGCUGGUUGGUGGGGUAGUGGCUUACCAAGGCUUUGACGGGUAGCCGGCCUGAGAGGGUGACCGGCCACAUUGGGACUGAGAUACGGCCCAGACUCCUACGGGAGGCAGCAGUGGGGAAUAUUGCACAAUGGGCGGAAGCCUGAGGCAGCAACGCCGCGUGCGGGAUGACGGCCUUCGGGUGGUAAACCGCUUUCGCCUGUGACGAAGCGUGAGUGACGGUAAUGAGUAAAGAAGCACCGGCUAACUACGUG